GAUGAAGAACGUAGCGAAAUGCGAUAAGUAAUGUGAAUUGCAGAAUUCAGUGAAUCAUCGAAUCUUUGAACGCAUCUUGCGCUCCUUGGUAUUCUGAGGAGCAUGCCUGUUUGAGUGUCAUUAAAUUCUCAACUACACUGACUUUGAAUUGGUGUGGCUUGGAUUUGGGGGGAAAAUUGUUGUGGGCUUUUUGUAUAGUCUGCUCCCCUGAAAUUGAUUAGCGGUACCUUUGUGGAACUGUCUACAGGUGUGAUAAUUAUCUACAUCUUAGACAUCUGCUGGAAUGCUGCUCUCUAAACCUUACUUGUAUUGACAAUCUUGACCUCAAAUCAGGUAGGACUACCCGCUGAACUUAAGCAUAUCAAUAAGUGGAGGA
rnacentral:misc_RNA from 1 species